AUUGAACGCUGGCGGCAUGCCUUACACAUGCAAGUCGAACGGCAGCACGGGAGCAAUCCUGGUGGCGAGUGGCGAACGGGUGAGUAAUGCAUCGGAACGUGCCAUUGAGUGGGGGAUAACGUAGCGAAAGUUACGCUAAUACCGCAUAUUCUGUGCGCAGGAAAGCAGGGGAUCGCAAGACCUUGCGCUCUUUGAGCGGCCGAUGUCAGAUUAGCUAGUUGGUGGGGUAAAGGCUCACCAAGGCGACGAUCUGUAGCGGGUCUGAGAGGAUGAUCCGCCACACUGGGACUGAGACACGGCCCAGACUCCUACGGGAGGCAGCAGUGGGGAAUUUUGGACAAUGGGCGCAAGCCUGAUCCAGCCAUUCCGCGUGCAGGAUGAAGGCCUUCGGGUUGUAAACUGCUUUUGUACGGAACGAAACGGCGAGCUCUAAUACAGUUUGCUAAUGACGGUACCGUAAGAAUAAGCACCGGCUAACUACGUG
rnacentral:rRNA from 1 species